rnacentral:rRNA from 1 species
CCUACGGGUGGCAGCAGUGAGGAAUAUUGGUCAAUGGACGAGAGUCUGAACCAGCCAAGUAGCGUGAAGGAUGACUGCCCUAUGGGUUGUAAACUUCUUUUAUAAGGGAAUAAAACGAGCCACGUGUGCCUUUUUGUAUGUACUUUAUGAAUAAGGAUCGGCUAACUCCGUGCCAGCAGCCGCGGUAAUACGGAGGAUCCGAGCGUUAUCCGGAUUUAUUGGGUUUAAAGGGAGCGUAGGUGGGUUGUUAAGUCAGUUGUGAAAGUUUGCGGCUCAACCGUAAAAUUGCAAUUGAGACUGGCAGUCUUGAGUACAGUUGAGGUAGGCGGAAUUCGUGGUGUAGCGGUGAAAUGCGUAGAUAUCACGAAGAACCCCGAUUGCGAAGGCAGCUUACUAGACUGUGACUGACACUGAUGCUCGAAAGUGUGGGUAUCAAACAGGAUUAGAUACCCGUGUAGUC